GUUUCUAUGGCAACAGCAAAAUCUUUUACAAAGUAGCUGUCUUUUUCCCAGUUAUACUUAUCCAUUUGCUGCAUUUAAAUGAAACUAACUCUACAGAACUGUGCUUGUAGCUCCAGAAAUCAUGAUACCGCUGUACUUAUAUUAUCUUGGCAAGUACAGAAGAGCCAAACCCAAUCAGCGAACUGAGAAAUUAUCACAAGUCCAUAGCAGGAACAAGGCUAAACUUGGAAAUGGCUGCGAUUAUGUUCCUCUUCAAGACUCAGACUCUUCAAAAGUAAUUAGACUAACACCAGAGGUGCUAGAAUAUCAUACCAGUGUGGAGGAUGGAGAAAUUUCUUAA
rnacentral:lncRNA from 1 species